AGCGGUAAGGCCCUUCGGGGUACACGAGCGGCGAACGGGUGAGUAACACGUGGGUGAUCUGCCUCGCACUCUGGGAUAAGCCUGGGAAACUGGGUCUAAUACCGGAUAUGACCUUACAUCGCAUGGUGUUUGGUGGAAAGAUUUAUCGGUGCGAGAUGGGCCCGCGGCCUAUCAGCUUGUUGGUGGGGUAAUGGCCUACCAAGGCGACGACGGGUAGCCGGCCUGAGAGGGCGACCGGCCACACUGGGACUGAGACACGGCCCAGACUCCUACGGGAGGCAGCAGUGGGGAAUAUUGCACAAUGGGCGAAAGCCUGAUGCAGCGACGCCGCGUGAGGGAUGACGGCCUUCGGGUUGUAAACCUCUUUCGACAGGGACGAAGCGCAAGUGACGGUACCUGUAGAAGAAGCACCGGCCAACUACGUGCCAGCAGCCGCGGUAAUACGUAGGGUGCGAGCGUUGUCCGGAAUUACUGGGCGUAAAGAGCUUGUAGGCGGCUUGUCGCGUCGAUCGUGAAAACUUGGGGCUCAACCCCAAGCUUGCGGUCGAUACGGGCAGGCUUGAGUACUUCAGGGGAGACUGGAAUUCCUGGUGUAGCGGUGAAAUGCGCAGAUAUCAGGAGGAACACCGGUGGCGAAGGCGGGUCUCUGGGAAGUAACUGACGCUGAGAAGCGAAAGCGUGGGUAGCGAACAGGAUUAGAUACCCUGGUAGUCCACGCCGUAAACGGUGGGUACUAGGUGUGGGUUUCCUUCCACGGGAUCCGUGCCGUAGCUAACGCAUUAAGUACCCCGCCUGGGGAGUACGGCCGCAAGGCUAAAACUCAAAGGAAUUGACGGGGGCCCGCACAAGCGGCGGAGCAUGUGGAUUAAUUCGAUGCAACGCGAAGAACCUUACCUGGGUUUGACAUACACCGGAAACCUGCAGAGAUGUAGGCCCCCUUGUGGUCGGUGUACAGGUGGUGCAUGGCUGUCGUCAGCUCGUGUCGUGAGAUGUUGGGUUAAGUCCCGCAACGAGCGCAACCCUUAUCUUAUGUUGCCAGCGCGUAAUGGCGGGGACUCGUGAGAGACUGCCGGGGUCAACUCGGAGGAAGGUGGGGACGACGUCAAGUCAUCAUGCCCCUUAUGUCCAGGGCUUCACACAUGCUACAAUGGCCGGUACAGAGGGCUGCGAUACCGUGAGGUGGAGCGAAUCCCUUAAAGCCGGUCUCAGUUCGGAUCGGGGUCUGCAACUCGACCCCGUGAAGUUGGAGUCGCUAGUAAUCGCAGAUCAGCAACGCUGCGGUGAAUACGUUCCCGGGCCUUGUACACACCGCCCGUCACGUCAUGAAAGUCGGUAACACCCGAAGCCGGUGGCCUAACCCCU
rnacentral:rRNA from 1 species